rnacentral:rRNA from 1 species
CCCCAGUAACGGCGAGUGAAGCGGCACCAGCUCAAAUUUGAAAUCUGACCUCUUCGAGGUCCGAGUUGUAAUUUGUAGAGGAUGUUUCGGGGGCGGUGCCGGCCUAAGUCCCUUGGAACAGGACGUCAUAGAGGGUGAGAACCCCGUAUGCGGCCGGUGACCAACCCCAUGUGAAACCCCUUCGACGAGUCGAGUUGUUUGGGAAUGCAGCUCUAAAUGGGUGGUAAAUUUCAUCUAAAGCUAAAUACUGGCCAGAGACCGAUAGCGCACAAGUAGAGUGAUCGAAAGAUGAAAAGCACUUUGAAAAGAGAGUUAAAAAGUACGUGAAAUUGUUGAAAGGGAAGCGCUUGCGACCAGACCUGCACGCGGGCGAUCAGCCGCCGUUUUCGGCGGUGUACUCGCCCGUAGCAGGCCAGCAUCGGUUCGGGCGGUUGGAUAAAUGUUCGGGGAACGUAGCUCUCUUCGGGGAGUGUUAUAGCCCCGGGCGCAAUGCGACCUGCCCGGACCGAGGACCGCGCUUCGGCUAGGAUGCUGGCCUAAUGGUCUUAAGCGGCCC